rnacentral:tRNA from 1 species
AUUUAUAUAGUUUAAUAUUAAAAACACUAUAUUUUCACUAUAGAAAUAAAGAAACCUUUUAUAAAUA